rnacentral:rRNA from 1 species
AACGGGGGGGGCAAGCGUUAUUCGUCGUUACUGGGCGUAAAGAGCUCGUAGGUGGUUUGUCGCGUUGUUCGUGAAAACUCACAGCUUAACUGUGGGCGUGCGGGCGAUACGGGCAGACUUGAGUACUGCAGGGGAGACUGGAAUUCCUGGUGUAGCGGUGGAAUGCGCAGAUAUCAGGAGGGAACACCGGUGGCGAAGGCGGGUCUCUGGGCAGUAACUGACGCUGGAGGGAGCGAAAAGCGUGGGGAGCGAACAGG